rnacentral:rRNA from 1 species
AACGCUGGCGGCGUGCCUAACACAUGCAAGUCGAACGAGGUCCAUCCUUCGGGAGAAGACCUAGUGGCGAACGGGUGAGUAACACGUGAAGAACCUGCCCCGAAGACCGGGAUAACCCUCCGAAAGGAGAGCUAAUACCGGAUACCCCCACCGAACCGCAUGGUUUGGUGAGGAAAUGGAUUCCGCUUCGGGAGGGCUUCGCGGCCUAUCAGCUAGUUGGUGGGGUAACGGCCCACCAAGGCAUCGACGGGUAGCUGGUCUGAGAGGACGAUCAGCCACACUGGGACUGAGACACGGCCCAGACUCCUACGGGAGGCAGCAGUGGGGAAUCUUGCGCAAUGGGCGAAAGCCUGACGCAGCAACGCCGCGUGGGGGAUGAAGGCUCUCGGGUUGUAAACCCCUUUCAGCAGGGACGAAUCAAGACGGUACCUGCAGAAGAAGCCCCGGCUAACUACGUG